rnacentral:tRNA from 1 species
UCUACAUAGGUGUAAGGUCACGGUAAAAUUUGAAUUUACUAGAGGAAAUUUCCAUGUAGAU